rnacentral:rRNA from 1 species
ACGGGUGAGUAAUGUCUGGGGAUCUGCCCGAUAGAGGGGGAUAACCACUGGAAACGGUGGCUAAUACCGCAUAACGUCGCAAGACCAAAGAGGGGGACCUUCGGGCCUCUCACUAUCGGAUGAACCCAGAUGGGAUUAGCUAGUAGGCGGGGUAACGGCCCACCUAGGCGACGAUCCCUAGCUGGUCUGAGAGGAUGACCAGCCACACUGGAACUGAGACACGGUCCAGACUCCUACGGGAGGCAGCAGUGGGGAAUAUUGCACAAUGGGCGCAAGCCUGAUGCAGCCAUGCCGCGUGUAUGAAGAAGGCCUUCGGGUUGUAAAGUACUUUCAGCGGGGAGGAAGGCAGUGAGGUUAAUAACCUUACUGAUUGACGUUACCCGCAGAAGAAGCACCGGCUAACUCCGUGCCAGCAGCCGCGGUAAUACGGAGGGUGCAAGCGUUAAUCGGAAUUACUGGGCGUAAAGCGCACGCAGGCGGUCUGUUAAGUCAGAUGCGAAAUCCCCGGGCUUAACCUGGGAACUGCAUUUGAAACUGGCAGGCUUGAGUCUCGUAGAGGGGGGUAGAAUUCCAGGUGU